UACAGAGGUCCCGAGCGUUGUUCGGAUUCACUGGGCGUAAAGGGUGCGUAGGUGGUGAGGUAAGUCGGAUGUGAAAUCUCCGGCUCAACCCGGAAAUGGCAUUGGAAACUACCUUGCUAGAGGAUUUGAGGGGGGAUUGGAAGUACUUGGUGUAGCAGUGAAAUGCGUAGAUAUCGAGAGGAACAGCCAGUGGCGAAGGCGAGUCCCUGGACAACACCUGACACUGAGGCACGAAAGCCGGGGAGCAAACAGG
rnacentral:rRNA from 1 species